GAUACAGCUGUGGCUCUGUGGGCAAAUGUCUUUUUAAAUGUGGAACCCUCAUCUGACCACUGAUUGUAAACUUAUGUAUACUUGGAUAGGGAGGGGGCUGCUUCCUGCUCUCAGCUCUGUCUUUCCUUAUCAGCCUCAUCUUUCCUAUGGCCUGAGUGUCUGGCUGACUUUUUUCUUUCUCGGGGGUUCUGCUAACAAGGUCCCCUUUAGUGACCAGAUCGUGGUUUUGAUUGGCACCCAUGAGGGCAAGAGAGAGUCCAACAGGAUCCUACCACUGAGCAGUGGCCCAGCAGCUCAGGCCAGCUGCAUGGGAGCAGCUUCGGUGGGAAGAACAGGUGCUGAUACGGAAGGAGGGGAAGCAGACCUCUGAAGCACUGAGUGCAAAGGAACAGGAUGCUCACAUUUGCGACAACCAGGAACUCUCUAUCCUCUCAAGAAUGUUCUCCAGGGAGAACAAGACUUGACUGAUUCCUCAGAAGAGUGCUGCACCCAUUUUACAAGCGGAUAAGCCAAGUCCUUAGAAGGCCUGGGACUGGUCCAAGGAUGGGUGGCAGGUGAUCUGAAGCCUCUAGGCCCCCAGCCUGAGGUGGCCUGUUCCCUCAAUGGAGCCACUCCAGCUCUGGCA